rnacentral:rRNA from 1 species
CAGCCGUAAACAAUGUGCGUUAGGUGUGUCGGUAACCACGCGUUACUGAUGCGCCGAAGAGAAAUCGUGAAACGCACCACCUGGGAAGUACGGUCGCAAGGCUGAAACUUAAAGGAAUUGGCGGGGGAGCACCACAACAGGUGGAGCCUGCGGUUUAAUUGGAUUCAACGCCGGACAUCUCACCGGAUAAGACAGCUGAAUGAUUGUCAAUCUGAAGGUUUUACAUGACUAGCUGAGAGGUGGUGCAUGGCGUCAGUGACU